AUUGAACGCUGGCGGCAGGCUUAACACAUGCAAGUCGAGCGGAGAUGAGGUGCUUGCACCUUAUCUUAGCGGCGGACGGGUGAGUAAUGCUUAGGAAUCUGCCUAUUAGUGGGGGACAACAUUCCGAAAGGAAUGCUAAUACCGCAUACGUCCUACGGGAGAAAGCAGGGGAUCUUCGGACCUUGCGCUAAUAGAUGAGCCUAAGUCGGAUUAGCUAGUUGGUGGGGUAAAGGCCUACCAAGGCGACGAUCUGUAGCGGGUCUGAGAGGAUGAUCCGCCACACUGGGACUGAGACACGGCCCAGACUCCUACGGGAGGCAGCAGUGGGGAAUAUUGGACAAUGGGGGGAACCCUGAUCCAGCCAUGCCGCGUGUGUGAAGAAGGCCUUAUGGUUGUAAGGCACUUUAAGCGAGGAGGAGGCUACUGAGACUAAUACUCUUGGAUAGUGGACGUUACUCGCAGAAUAAGCACCGGCUAACUCUGUGCCAGCAGCCGCUGUAAGAC
rnacentral:rRNA from 1 species